rnacentral:rRNA from 1 species
AUGACAGGAAAAUUCCGGGCAGCGAUUGACGCCACAGGACUCCGGGAGAUUAGAUGCAAAAACCGUCGAUACACAUGGAGCAACGAGCGGGAUGACCCAACCCUUGUCAGCAUCAACAAAUUUUUCUGCAAUAAUGCCUGGGACGCUCUAUUCCCGUCCUUCCUCCUCCACGCCACCUCGACGUCCUGCUCUGACCACUGCCCCUUGCUGCUCGCCGCAGCUUCCGCACCACGCCGACCAGCCCGGUUCCGGUUCGAAUCUUUCUGGCCGCGCUUCCCCAGAUUCCAAGCAACGGUGCAACAUGCGUGGGAUCGCCCCGUCGCCUCCAGCUGUGCAUUCAGACGCAUCCACGUCAAGCUCGAUAGGGUGGCAAAGGAUCUCAAAAUCUGGGCUAAAGGAUUCUUCAGUAGCACUCGUCUGCAGCUGCAUAUCGCAAACGAGGUGGUUCUCCGCCUCGACAUCGCCCAGGAGCAUAGGCGGUUGUCUAGCAGCGAGCUCGGCCUCCGGAAGCAGCUCAAGCUUCGCGUCCUCGGCCUUGCCGCGAUCGAGCGCGCCAGGAAGCGCCAGGCCUCGCGCAUCACCUGGCUGCGGGCUGGCGACGCCCGGACGUCCUUCUUCCAGGCCAAGAUCAACUCUAGGAGGCAGAAAAACUUCAUCCACGCCAUUCACACGACAGACUCAAUCGUUACCUCCCACGACGACAAGGCCAAGGCUAUCCACGAUCACUUCAGCUCCUCCCUCGGGGCGGCGACCGUCAGGAACACCACCAUCAACUGGAGCUCGAUCAACCUGCCCUCUCUGCCGGCAGUCGCUCUAGAUAACCCUUUCUCGGAGGACGAGGUUUGGCAGGCGAUCUACGCAUCGCCCCAAGAAAAAGCGCCCUGGCCGGAUGGAUUCAAAGGAACUUUUUCCGAAUGUACUGGCCGAUCAUCAAACUCGAUGUCAUGGCGCCCUUCCACCAGUUCUAUCACCUCGCAGGAGGAGACAUGGCUGCCAUCAAUCGGGCCCUGA